rnacentral:rRNA from 1 species
GGCAAGAGCUCAGAUUUGAAAUCGUGUUUCGGCACGAGUUGUAGAGUGUAGGCGGGAGUCUCUGUGGAGCGCGGUGUCCAAGUCCCUUGGAACAGGGUGCCUGAGAGGGUGAGAGCCCCGUAGGGUGCUGCGCGAAGCUUUUGAGGCCCUGCUGACGAGUCGAGUUGUUUGGGAAUGCAGCUCCAAGCGGGUGGUAAAUUCCAUCUAAGGCUAAAUAUUGGCGAGAGACCGAUAGCGAACAAGUACUGUGAAGGAAAGAUGAAAAGCACUUUGAAAAGAGAGUGAAACAGCACGUGAAAUUGUUGAAAGGGAAGGGUAUUGGGCUCGACAUGGGGGGUGCGCACCGCUGUCUCUUGUAGGCGGCGCUCUGGGCGCCCUCUGGGCCAGCAUCGGUUCCUGCUGCGGGAGAAGGGGCUCCGGAAAGUGGCUCUUCGGAGUGUUAUAGCCGGGGCCAGAUGCCGCGUGUGGGGACCGAGGACUGCGGCUUCUGUCUCGGAUGCUGGCAUAACGGCGCAAUACCGCCCGU